CUUAUCUGGCGUAUUGUACCAUCUAGUAAGAAUUUUAUAUCCAUUCUCCUGGAUUCGGACACAGAGGGAGGCCCUGUGGGGAGAUUCAAGGAGCUUAUGAAGUGAAUGGUAAUGUUCAGGUCUGAA